rfam:Tetrasphaera australiensis Ben110 genomic scaffold, 2552_scaffold1
AGAGCCGGCCAGACGGUCGCGUCCGGUAUGCCGCGCGGCAUACCGGCCGAGGAAGGUCCGGACUCCACAGGGCAAGGUGAUGGCUAACGGCCACCCGGGGCGACCCGCGGGACAGUGCCACAGAGAGCAGACCGCCCCACCUUCGGGUGGGGUAAGGGUGAAAGGGUGGUGUAAGAGACCACCAGCGGCCUGGGCGACCAGACCGGCUCGGUAAACCCCACCUGGAGCAAGCCCAGAUAUGCGUGCGUUCGACGGCGGCCCGCCGGAGCACGCGGGUAGGGCGCUCGAGCCCGCCGGCAACGGCGGGCCUAGAUGGAUGACCGUCACCGCACCUGCGGCAACGCGGAUGCGGCACAGAAUCCGGCCUAUCGGCCGGCUCUUCCU